AGGACCCCCAGUGAAGCAGUGACUGGAGGAGAGGGAGGGACGGCCACCACACUGCCUGCACGGCACCGUGGCAACCCAGUGAAUGAGCAGGACGGAGCCGGAGGAGGAGCUGGUGGUUUACAGAUGCCAAUUGCAAAACUGACUCUACUGGUCUCGCUAGAAAAGCAAUGAAACAAUGUUCUAAAAAAAAUACAGGUCCAGAAUUUCCUCCUUGACUUUGUGUGAGAACAGAUGCACGGUCAUCGCCAUGUUGGAGCAUGUCAGCUGGCCAUCCCGGCUCUCUAUGUGGCUGGCCCUGGACAACAGGCCAUCGGCCCUUCUGGCAUUUGCCAGAAGUGCCAAAUGGACAGCCCGGCCCUGGAGAAAGAGACAGAGUGAGAGUGGAAGAAAAGAGAGGAGAGAAAAGAAAAGGAGAGUCGAAGCAAAGUGGCGAAUAAGAGAAACAAAGAAGGUGGCUAGGAGAAGAGGAAUAGAGAAGGGAAAGGGAGAAAAGAUAGAAAUGGUGGAUCUUCUGUGAAAAAGUAAAAUAAUAAUUGGUACGACCUGAGAACAGGACGGCAUUUUAAAGAACGAACAGGGAGGCUACUCGCUGGAGGGAGAUCCAUGGGGACCAUACAGAAUUACAUUUUUUGGAGGAGUUAUUAAUGAUGCUAGUCAUGUAUUCCAUGCGGUACACGUACCAAAUACGAGCUAAAAUAGAGUGAAUUGAAGGAGUA